rnacentral:rRNA from 1 species
CAGUAGCCGCGGGAAUACGAACCGUGCGAACGUUAUUCGGAAUUACUGGGCUUAAAGCGCGUGUAGGCGGGCCGCCACGUCGGUUGCUGAAAUCCCCCGGCUCAACCGGGGAAGUGGCAUCGAUACGAGCGGCCUUGAGGGGGGUAGGGGGAUCUGGAACUUCCGGUGGAGCGGUGAAAUGCGUUGAGAUCGGAAGGAACGCCCGUGGCGAAAGCGAGGUCCUGGACCCUUUCUGACGCUGAGACGCGAAGGCCAGGGGAGCGAACUGGAUUAGAUACCCCUGUAGUCCCUGUCUCUUAUU